rnacentral:rRNA from 1 species
GCAUCGAUGAAGAACGCAGCGAACUGCGAUACGUAAUGCGAAUUGCAGGAUUCAGUGAGUCAUCGAAAUUUUGAACGCAUAUUGCACUUCCGGGUUAGUCCUGGGAGUAUGCCUGUAUCAGUGUCCGUACAUCAAACUUGGCUUUCUUCCUUCCGUGUAGUCGGUGGAGGAGACGCCCAGACGUGAAGUGUCUUGCGGCGAAUUUUCGAAUUUGCUGUGAGUCCUUUGAAAUGUACUGAACUGUACUUCUCUUUGCUCGAAAAGCGUGGCGUUGCUGGUUGUGGAGGCUGCCCGCGUGGCCAGUCGGCGACCGGUUUGUCUGCUGUGGCGUUAAUGGAGGAGUGUUCGAUUCGCGGUAUGGUUAGCUUCGGCUGAACAAGCGCUUAUUGGAUGUUCUUCUUGCUGUGGCGUGAUGGACUGGUGAACCGUAGCUAUGUGUGGCUUGGCUUUUGAAUCGGCUUUGCUGUUGCGAAGUAGAGUGGCGGCUUCGGCUGUCGAGGGUCGAUCCAUUUGGGAAAUUUGUGUGUAUGACUUCGGUUGUAUGCAUCUCAAUUGGACCUGAUAUCAGGCAAGAUUACCCGCUGAACUUAAGCAUAUCAAUAAGCGGAGGA